GGAUACCCCCAACCCCGCUCACGGAUCCGACGCCAUGGGAGGGAUUUGGACCAAUUUGUUGGGCGGGGCUAUUCCCCGCAUGACUCCGCCCACCUGAAGCGACGUCACCCCCACAAAACGAUCCGGCCACUCAGGCCACUUCCGGUUCCCGUGUCUUUAUAGCCGGCCCUUUUUCCUCCGUCACUUCCGACCUGGCCGCCGUCUUGCCCGUGCCGCUAUGUCCGUGUCCCCCGUGCUCCGCGCGCUGCUCCGCCCCCGGCUCGCGCCGCCCGCUCGCGGCCUGCACUCGUACCCGCCGGAGAACCGCGUGGGGCCGCUGGAGACCGUCAUCGGCCUGGGAGCCUUCAUCAUGGCCUUCCUGGCCCCCUCGGGCUGGAUCCUGGCCAACAUGGAGAGCUACAAGAAGCGCGACUGAGCGGGCAGGGUCUGAUCCGCGCUGGCCGCCCGGCUGGACUCCCCUGCGCCCCUGGCGGGGCUCGCCCCUGCCCCCACAAUCCACACCCGGCCCCUGGGGCUGUUAACUUGUUCCCUGGCUCUGUGUGGAGCAGCAGCGCCGCUGCCAUGGCGGAGUGACUUGAAGCUGUUACAAUAAACCCUCUUACAGACACUU